UCCCCCAGUAGCGGCGAGCGAACGGGGAGGAGCCCAGAGCCUGAAUCAGUGUGUGUGUUAGUGGAAGCGUCUGGAAAGGCGCGCGAUACAGGGUGACAGCCCCGUACACAAAAAUACACAUAUUGUGAGCUCGAUGAGUAGGGCGGGACACGUGGUAUCCUGUCUGAAUAUGGGGGGACCAUCCUCCAAGGCUAAAUACUCCUGACUGACCGAUAGUGAACCAGUACCGUG
rnacentral:rRNA from 1 species